CUACGAAGGGGGCAAGCGUUGUUCGGAAGAACUGGGCGUAAAGCGCACGUAGGCGGAAUGUUAAGUUAGAGGUGAAAUCCCAGGGCUCAACCCUGGAACGGCCUUUAAUACUGGCAAUCUAGAGACCGAGAGAGGUGAGUGGAAUUCCGAGUGUAGAGGUGAAAUUCGUAGAUAUUCGGGGGAACACCAGUGGCGAAGGCGGCUCACUGGCUCGGUACUGACGCUGAGGUGCGAAAGCGUGGGGAGCAAACAGGAUUAGAUACCCCAGUAGUCC
rnacentral:rRNA from 1 species